AGUGGCGAAAGGGGCAGUAAUGCAUGGGUAACCUACCUUGGGGAUGGGGAUAGCCGUUCUAACGAGCGGGUAAUACCCAGAGAUUCAGCGGGAGGGCAUCCUUCCGCUGGGAAAUGAAUUUCGCCUCGAGAGGGGCCCAUGUGCUAUUAGCUAGUUGGCGGGGUAACGGCCCACCAAGGCUAAGAUGGCUAGCGGGUGUGAGAGCACGACCCGCGCCACUGGCACUGAGACACUGGCCAGACACCUACGGGUGGCUGCAGUCGAGGAUCUUCGUCAAUGGGCGCAAGCCUGAACGAGCGACGCCGCGUGCGCGAUGAAGGCCUUCGGGUUGUAAAGCGCGAAAGUGGGGAGAAAGCCGAAAGGUUGAUCAAUCCACAGUAAGGACGGGCUAAGUUCGUGCCAGCAGCCGCGGUAAGACGAACUGUCCUAACGUUGUUCGGAAUCACUAGGCUUAAAGGGCGCGUAGGCGGUCGAUCAAGUCAGGGGUGAAAUCCUGCAGCUUAACUGUAGAAGUGCCUCUGA
rnacentral:rRNA from 1 species